GCGGAAGCUGCGCCAUCAUGCUCGUUUUCGCGUGCGUUCGCGUCGCGCGCUGUGCGAAAUAAUUUUAAACGUGUGAUUAGUUUUGCGCGCGGGGUAGAAAAAGAUGUGGCCCUUGCUUUGUGUAUUACUCGUGCCCCACUUCAAAGCAAAGCGUUUGUACGCACUGGAAGAUGGAUCCACGAAGGCUGAAACGAGAAGUUGCAACGUGCCCGGUCGGUAGUACUGGCAUGACGGAAAUUUUCAGGCAAGUGCCCGUUUAUUUGGUAUUUGUUUUGUUCGCUUUAGAAAUAUCUCACUGUGAUCUCGUAGCAUAAUUCAUAAUUCGCUAAUGUAAGAGCAAGAGCAGCUGCACUCCUACUAGGGCAAAUGAACUACCUCGAUCGCGUCCCGUGUGACUAAUGUUUGUCAAAUCUACAUCGGGCGUGGUGCGCCUGCAUAGUUACGCUUUGUUUCUCAGCGCUUGAGCGUUCAUUGAUGUGAUUCUCUUGUGCGUUCAGCGCGGCUGCUUGUAAUACGGUCGUUCGCACUUCAGUUAAAUGUGGUCGACCACUAUUGCGUCGCGUAGAAAAAGGACUGGCUUAGCCACCUUUCGAAAGAACCGGCGUGGUAUUGGUUCUCCCUGAUGCGGUCGCGUGCUGCUGUUGCUCCUUGCCGGACGCCUUCAGCAUUUUUUCGGCUCGCUUUGUCUCUGCGUGUGCGCGUGCUCGCGCUCGGCUCGAUUUGUGUGUGCGUGUGUGCGCUCAGCUCAGCUCGCUUUGUGUGUGUGUGCGUGCGUGCGCUCGGCUCGCUGUGUGUGUGUGCGUGUGCGCGCGCGUGCGUGCGCGCGCGUACAGUACAUGCCGGUUUGUAUGGGCCGGCGUGUUUGCGCGUGUCUAGUGCGUACGUGUUUUGUGAGUGUGUUGUCUGUGGGUUGCUGUGUGUGCGUGCUCGUGUUAGCGUGUCUGCCUGCAUGCAUACAUGUGUGCUUGUUUGUGUGCAUCAAUGUGCGCGUGCGCGCUUUUGUGUCUGCGCUUUGAGAGUGCGUAUACUUGUGUGUGCGUGCGUAUGUAUUGCAUGAGGCCGGUAGUUUUACUCGCAAUAAAACUUCCGAUUUGGCGCAGCGAGUGUUCCCGCCUGAAAGCCGAGUUUGGUUUCAAGCCACCCUGGACAACUGCUGUAUGAGGCGCCGUUUCUCGGGAGCACCAGUGGGAAGGCGCCAGGUCAUGCAGAUGGCAGCAGCAAUUUCACAAUGCCCAGCCUUGGCGCCCCCCAUCAAGAGCAAGCCACUUGCGUUCGCCUUAUGACAGAUGGUUAAUGUCUUCUUGAAAGUGGUUGAGAAGACAACAUUGAUGCAAGAUUCCAGCAAUGCCAUGCGCUGCGUUGGUCAAGAUGCUCAGAGAAUGGAGUCCCUGCACCUUGUGGUUAACCGUGAACAUUUCUUUUUGUUUUGGAAAGCUAAAGCCAUUUGCUGCAUCACUUGCAUUUUUACAGCUCAGAUGUGUACUAUAUUUUUCUAAUUUUGAAUUAAUAUUUGCUGUUCAGUAUAAAAAAUGACGUACAGUGUGAAGGACAAGGACUGCGACAGACACACUCCACUCACUUUCAACAAUAUUUUAUUGCGUUGCCACAUCGUGUGUGUAUACACAAGAGGGGUCAUGCGCAGAAAAUGAAAGCCAGUCACAAGGGGUGUUCUAACAGCAAGUCAUUGUAAAAAGAACAUGGUCACUUGAAAAAAAAAACAUCACAAUUUCUAUCUGUUUAGGUACAAAAUUUCACUAGGGGUCAGCGGGAUAGAGGGGGCACUAACGCACACACUAUCCAGUUUUCUGGUGAAAUCAGCUUCAA